GACGAACGCUGGCGGCGUGCUUAACACAUGCAAGUCGAACGGAAAGGCCCUGCUUUUGUGGGGUGCUCGAGUGGCGAACGGGUGAGUAACACGUGAGUAACCUGCCCUUGACUUUGGGAUAACUUCAGGAAACUGGGGCUAAUACCGGAUAGGAGCUCCUGCUGCAUGGUGGGGGUUGGAAAGUUUCGGCGGUUGGGGAUGGACUCGCGGCUUAUCAGCUUGUUGGUGGGGUAGUGGCUUACCAAGUCUUUGACGGGUAGCCGGCCUGAGAGGGUGACCGGCGACAUUGGGACUGAGAUACGGAGCAGACUCCUACGGGAGGCAGCAGUGGGGAAUAUUGCACAAUGGGCGGAAGCCUGAUGCAGCAACGCCGCGUGCGGGAUGACGGCCUUCGGGUUGUAAAACGCUUUCGCCUGUGACGAAGCGUGAGUGACGGUAAUGGGUAAAGAAGCACCGGCUAACUACGUG
rnacentral:rRNA from 1 species